rnacentral:tRNA from 1 species
GAGGGUAUAGCUUAGUGGUAGAGUGUGUGCUUAGCAUGCAGGAGGUCCUGGGUUCAAUCCCCAGUACCUCCA